GGCGGCGUGCCUAAUACAUGCAAGUAGAACGCUGAAGAGAGGAGCUUGCUCUUCUUGGAUGAGUUGCGGACGGGUGAGUAACGCGUAGGUAACCUGCCUGGUAGCGGGGGAUAACUAUUGGAAACGAUAGCUAAUACCGCAUGAAAUUGCUUAUCGCAUGAUAAUUAAUUGAAAGAUGCAAUUGCAUCACUACCAGAUGGACCUGCGUUGUAUUAGCUAGUUGGUGAGGUAACGGCUCACCAAGGCGACGAUACAUAGCCGACCUGAGAGGGUGAUCGGCCACACUGGGACUGAGACACGGCCCAGACUCCUACGGGAGGCAGCAGUAGGGAAUCUUCGGCAAUGGGGGGAACCCUGACCGAGCAACGCCGCGUGAGUGAAGAAGGUUUUCGGAUCGUAAAGCUCUGUUGUAAGAGAAGAACGGGUGUGAGAGUGGAAAGUUCACACUGUGACGUAUCUACCAGAAA
rnacentral:rRNA from 1 species